CGGUGGCCGCGGGCGUCAGGCUCUCCCGGUCUCCGGCGGGGCCACCCCAGGGUGCGCAUCGCGUGCCGGAGCGCGGGGGGCGGGGGGGGGGGCGGGAGGCGUCUGGGCUGGUGGCGGAGUCAGCUGUGUGAUGGCAGAAUUUAUCCGUCCUUGGGUGGUUUGAACUUGUUGCAAUCUAUUCAGCGUUUUGUCAAGAUUUAAUAGAACAUUUGCUGCUUUUCUAAGAACACUGUGAGGUCGCACUGGUGUGAUCCCCGCCCCCCCCAUGUUACAAGUGAGAAGAUGAGGCUCUGAUGAGGUAAGUUGUCUGAGGUCUCGCUGACAGUAAGAGAGAACGUCAGGAUGUGAAGCCAGGUGGUUUGAUUCCAGAAACUAUGUUCUUAAGCACGUCCCUGUAUUUUCCAUACUUACCGUAAAAUACAAAUUCAUGAAAGGGAUAUGGUACGUUUUACUGCAAAUGACAGUGUAGCAGGACUUGAAAUUAUAACUCUUUAUUUUAGGAACGUUGAAGGGCAGGGUCCUGAUCUUGACCCCCUACACAACCAUAAUUUGGGCAUGAGACAACCACACCUUCCUAUUGCUUGAGAUGCUUUUCUGCCUUUAUUUCUCUGGCAAACUUUAUCUUCAUUUGUGAACUCCAAGUCAGAGGUCGCCUACUUCCCAGAGCCUUUCCCAGUAAACCCAGGGAGAAUUAAUUCUGUUCCUCCCUGCUCUGUUCCCAGCGUGGCUUGAAGAUGCUGUAAUACAGUCUUGUCGCUGUUUGGGGCUGCUUCCAUGCCUGUCCUCCCCACUAGACCGGAGUAACUCAGGGCAAGAACUCGCCCUUCUCCCUGCCCCAUCUCUACUGCCCUGCACACGGUCAGGUGUCCCGAGGAAGCUUCAGGAAUUGCUGCUGGAUUGUGAGCUUGAGAGGAUUAACCUGGGGGCAGUGUUCUCCUAUUUGGCUCUGGUGACCGCGGAGGCAUUUUCUUUUUGAAAUUGUACUGAAAUAGAGCUCAGGGUGAUUUUGCUACAUUUCAAAACAUUCUGGGAAGGGUCUAGAAGUUUCAUAAAAUUGCCAGGAGUCCACAGUAGAAAAAAGGUCCAGACCGCCUUUAUCUGGCAUGUUCCGGACAGAGGCCGCUCCGCUGGCCGGGUCCUGGGCAGGUGACCACAAGGCACAGAGCCCUGACUCUGGGGGACACUGGGAGGGGCUGAGCAGGCUUCAGUUUCCCCUGAGAUGGACACUGUCCUCACAGCCUAAUCUACACUCUCUCUCUGUGUCUGCGUGUGGAUUCCUAGAUGCCGGUCCAGAUCUUUCGUGCCAUCAACGGUUCUGAGGUGGCAAUCUGGAUGGCGACAGUUGAAAUGUCCUUUCUCUGAGUCUCACGGUUUUUCCUUUGACUCUGAGGGAAGAGCCAAGGCUUUCUGGGCAUCACUGAUGUCUGUGGAGGGACAAGUUGGUUUUGGAACAUCAGGGUCUAGUUCUAAAGCUGGCACCCCCUCCACUCUGGGGGCAGCCUCUGGGAACUCCCACAGGGCUCAGGCUUGAGGUGCUGGGGCUUGGUCUGCUUGCUUUGCAACAGGGUGAGAUGAUCGCGAGUUGCCUGCCUUCCACAACAGCUUUCCUGAGUUGGGAAAUUCCGCCCCCCCCCCCCCCCCCCAACGCACGCCCUCGCCAGAGUGUACGUGUCCCAGCAAUCCACUGAUGCAUUUUCAAUCCUUUCAGUGGGCACCUUCUUCCAGAUAGGAAUCAGACCAAAUCCCUUACUCUUUAGAGAGUUUAUUGAGCACCAUCCCUAGUUACUUCACUAAAUUUCGACCUUCCAUGAGGGUCAUGAUUCUCUUUAAGGUGGAGAUCAGACGAAAACCUGGAGCAUGCACGCAGGGUAAGGAGACACUCCCGACGACUUUGCCUUAAGACGUGCUUCGUGCACAUUUUCUCUUUGCCUCUCCAUUAGGUGGGUUAGGGGAGCGGACGUUCAGGGCUGCCUCUCCCGGUAGUGACAAGUUAUCUGUUUCUAGAUGUAAAACGGGGAUCUCAUCAGAGAUCAGGACAUGAACUAAUCCAAGUUUUGCUUUUGUGUUCCAUUUUGCCUCCAAGUCAAUCUUGGCUCCGGCGUGGUUCCCGUUCAUUUUAACAGCAUAAGAUGAAUUAAGGGCUUUUAGUACAUUACAAGACUCCAAAUCUCUACAAAGGUCUUACGAGAAACGUUCGCUGAAGUCCUUUUGGCCUCAUAUGCCUUUGCCUUUCUGGUUGCUGGAAAUGGAGUAUCACACAUUGCUAGCUCUACUCAUUAUUUUCAGCAAAUGCCACCCAAGCUCUGCCAGGUUUACAAAGUCAAAAUACUCAUUUGCAAAUAAUACCUUUAAUGGGUGUGUUUUCACGUCCUAAAGUGCUCAGACACUAUGGCAAUGAGCACAGGGUGAUUCACUAAUGGAAUGCACUAUGGAUUUCAUCAACCUUUGUCCAUAAACGUUGAUGUGCAUUUUCUCUCUUACCCAUGAUGUUUGCAGUAUGGGCCCGGGAGCGCAAAUCAAUUUCUUUCCGAAGAU